rnacentral:lncRNA from 1 species
AUGUUGUCUACAUUUACAGUAAUUUCAUCAUCCAAACUGUGUUAAUGAACCGUAACUAAACUAAUAUUAAUAUCAGUGAUCUUCUUCUUGAAAAGAAGAGGUUUAAUUUGAAUCCCAACUUACUUUUUAUGUGUGUAAGAUCCAAAUUGUGAAUAUCCUUAAUUAUGUUUAUCCAAGCAUUAUCUGGAAACGAAGAUAUGAACUAAGAAUUGUCUAGUUAUAUUGAAAGGGAAAAUUGUAUUUCCAAACAGCAAAUGUACAGCAAAAGCUCACUCCCGAGAUAAGGGAAUGAUCAUCCCAACCCUUACAGUGAAUUACAAAGUCGAAGCCCUAUAUGCAGUAGCUACUCAGUCUGAUCAUUAAGCAGUUGCAGAUGCUGCCGAAAGGAAAGGAAGAAGAAGAAGAAUUCAAUUUUGCAAUUCGGUAUCGCAGGAUAGGGACACUUGGAAAGAGAAUGAAAAGAACCGGCCACUGCAGAGAGCCCCCAGUAAAGAAACAGAGGUGGAAGUUGAGUCACAGGUCUAAGAGAUUCUGUCUUCUCAAGAUUUGCACCAUCUAAUCAUCAAGCAAGCCCAGCAGGUAGUUUGAUGAGACAGGCUAGAUAUAUAUAGCACCUGAUCACUAGUUUUGAUGAUGUGUUGAAGCUGAUUUCUUAAUCUUGAUUUUGAAAUGUUCUCCUGCCGCUACAUCCUUCUCUUUAUCAGAGAUGAUUACUAUAACGUCGCCGGUACUGAGACCCUUUUUACGAACAAAUGAAAACCAGUCCCCAGAAAGGGCUGGUUUUGAACUCCCUCUUGGUGACACUCUACAACGGAAGGUCCACACUUGCCCCUCCUCGUCUUUGAACUUCAAAUUUGCUUCAUGGUCUCCUUGGAAAUCUUUUAGACAAUUUUCUGGAAGCGUUAGUCUUCUCUGAACAUCGGUGCUGUCGAGUUUUUUUGUGAAGUUUUCCAUUGCCAGCUUUUUUUUUUUUUUUUUUGUGGAGUAGUUGAUGAGCGAUGGUUGAGAAGUUUCCCCUUCGCCAAGGCUUUUAUCAGUUUAUGGUUCGCGCCUUAGUGGGGCCUACAAAACUGGGAAACAUCUUUUUCUAAUUGGUGGGUCCACACUAAAUUCCACAAUCAUGACGGAAAACCAUUGGCUGCACAUGAAGUGCACCGCUUUUAAAAUCAAACUUGAGAUAUUGAAUCGAUCCACGAGCUGUCAGUUUUAUUAAAAUAGUAUCUUUUAUUUGUUUGUUUGCUUUUUUGUUAUUAAAAAUCAAAUUAGAUUAAUUGAGAUUCACCUAAUAAACAGUUUUUUUUUUAUUUAAUUUAAAAUCUAAGCCUAAAUCAAGCUUUAAAUUGUGAACUUUUAAAAUUAAUUCAUUAAAAUUCAUUAAAUCAAACCGGAUUUUUAAUAUUUAUGAUAACUGAGUUUUGAAAUUACAUAAAAAAAAUAAGUUGGAAUAUAUAUAUAUAUAUAUAUAAAGACCUUUAUUUAUGUAAUUAGUCUAAAAAGUGUUUUUAUUAUAUGAACUGGAAAGAUUUAGCGUUUUACAUAUUUAAAAAAAAUUUAAUUUUUAAAAUUUUUAAUUAUUUUAAUGUGUUGAUAUUAAAAAAAAAAUUAAAAAUAAAAAAAAAUAUUAUUAUAAUAUAUUUAAAAAACAACUUUUAUCUUCAAAUACUAUAAAAAAAAACUGUGCAACAACUAUAUAAACAAUAAAAUUUAUUCUAAACAUUGUACUUUUUUAAAUAAUUUAAAUUAUUACUUUUCUGAUAAGAGUUCAUUUGAACUCCGAUAUAAUUAAAUAAAAAAUAUUCAAAAAUAUUAUGAGAUAAAAUAUUUACAUUUGUAUUUAUCGUUUUUUAUUUAUAAAAAUAUUAUUUUUUUUAUCUUUGUCUUUAAUUAACAUUAAAAAGUUAUUAUUAUUAUUAUUAUAUAUAUAUAUAUAUAUAUAUAUAUAUAUAUUAUUAAAUGCAGUUUCAAUUUUCAAUUAAAAACUAUAGUUAUCAAACCGACCCGGGGGUUUUAUGGGUCAACCCGGGUCAAUCCAGAAAAAUUAAAAAAUAUAUAUUUAAAGUUUUAAUAUUUCAUAUGAAAAAAUAAAAAAACAAUCCAUGUAAAUAUAAGUUAUACAUGUUGUAAAUAAUGAAGUUUAAAAGAAUAUUUUUUUAAAAAAUUUAUCCUACAUUGAAAAGAUAUUAUGUUAUCAUUUUAAGUUGAACUAUUUAAAUCAAAAAUUUUUUUUGAUCUCAUAUUAAAAAAACAUAACUUUUUUCUUGUGAACAUAGAGUAUAUAUAUUAAAGGGUUUCAAAUCUCACAUUAAAAAAAUAACUUCUUUCUUGUGAACAUAGAGUAUAUAUAUUAAAAGGCUUCAAAUCCCAUAUUAAAAAGAUACUAUGUUAUUAUUUUAAGUUGAAGUAUUUAAAUUAAAAAGUUUUUUUAUUCCAUAUUGAAAAACUUAAUUUUUUUUCUUGUAAACAUAAAAUAUAUAUACAAAAGAGCUUCAAAUCUUACAUUGAAAAAAUAUUUGUUUUUCGGGAACAUAUAGUAUAUAUAUUAAAAGGUUUCAAAUCUCAUAUUAAAAAAAUAAAAUAUUUUUCAAGUAUUUAUAUAAUGAACUUUAAAAAAUAUUAAUAACUAACUAAUAAAAUAUAAAAAUAUAAAAUAUAUAUAAAAAAUCACAUUUUAAAAAAAAAAUCUCAUCCAGACUUACCCAAGUCAUCAGUUAACCAUUCGGAUUUUACCGAGUUAUUACCGUAACCGAUCUUUUAUCUUACCCACCAGAUCUCAGGUGCCCAUUCAGGUCUGAUAACUACGUUAAAAAGUCUCAAAAUUGAGCGAUUACUUAGCUAGUGAUAUGAUGAGUAGGAUGUCCACUUCAUGGAAAGAAUAACAAAAGACAACGUGUAAAUUAAGUUAGCGAGGAAUCAGGAUUAGCGUUGACGUCUGUCAACGUAAUUAUAUAUGCUAGGUUUGACCCUUUCUUUAUCUUUUUAAACACGAACCGCGUUAAAUUUUCUGCUUUAGAAGAAUCAAUCCAAGCGAAGUAUAUUCCUCGAGUUUUCCCGGAAAAGAAACAUGGGAUUCAUUCCUACUCCUUAGACUUAAUCGUAUCAGAACCAUGCUGGUGGACAGGUGAUUCGAUAUACUCGCAAAAAAUAUAUCUAACUUUGCUUGAGUUGGGAAACUUCCAUGCCCUCUCUAGCCUGAAGUUACUGAAUUUUCUCAGAACAUCAAGCGACAGAAUCAUGACAUGCUUAUUUCCCUAUAUAUACCAUGUUUAAGAGUGAAGUGAGAAACUCAAGAACAUCUCAGAUUCGAUAUAUCUUGCUAUAGAUACAUACCACUACAGAUCUACCCAAGUGUUUUUUUUUUGUUUUUUGAAGCAAGCAAUGGCAUUAGUCUUUUCAAAGUUUCUAACUGCAGAUGAUAUUGAGAAUGGCUUGUCUAUUCCUGGUUGUUCUCUUGGUCCAUUACCAUUCCAAGAAGGCCAAUCGAUGAACAUGCAUGUUCACGAUGGUAAUGGUCACGAAUGGAUCUUCUCUUGCACCAUCAAGAGAAAUGAGAGUAUGGGACAUUUUCUUUCUGUGGGCUGGAAUAAAUUUGUUCGUGAGAGGGAUCUUCGAGUGGAUGAUAAGGUCACAAUUCAUGAGGAGGCCAUGAAAAACCAAGCUAUGGGAACAUGGAUCAAAGUGGAAGUGAAAAGAAAGAUCAGAUUGUUUGGUGAGGAUGUUUGGGCUGAUGUCUAAGCAAUUGAAGUCCUGUUUUUUUUUUUGCUGGAUAUUAAUUUGUUAAAUUGUUGGUGUGUAAAAGAAAAUGGCCACACCCCAUAAAUAAUUUUAAGAGAUUUGGAGUUUGAAUUAAAAAAUAAAUCACUUUCUUAUUCCCCUGAUCCCUUACUUUCUCCAAUCAAGAUGGAUCAACGAUGAUAGAAUGAGAUUUUAGAGCUCAAUUAAAACCACAGGGAACUCAAAUUGGCACAAGUACUUUCAACAAGACAGCAGCAAGAAAAGCGAAAUAAAAUAAAAUCCAUGCAGAGUAUUAAGAUGAUAAUGGUAGAAAGCACAGCGAUCUCCAACAAAGCAACCCAGCUUCUACCUAAAAUUCUUGCAUAAUGCAGAUCAUUUUCCAGUUAUGAACUUGCCUGUUGCUGACCUUCUGGUGGGUAACCAUCCCCCCUUGUAAGCAUCUCAAACAACGCAGGCCUCAAAAUCCACUCUACCAGAUCCUUGUUCUGUCAGAAAAUAGAAGAUAUAGGCAAACCAAUCAAGCGUUUAUAGGAAUCAAGGGUUUAUACAUUGUUCUGAAUGUUAAAGAACAGCAAUCAAUUUUAGCUUGAAGGAUUUCUAAAGCAACCCUACCCUCUCUUAUCCUUUCUACAUGCACACUUUGUUUUUGUUUCCUCCUAGAACUAGGAAAUAUGAAAAAAAUUUCAGGAUUUAUAUAAUUUCAACCAUCUUUUUAUGUCCUAAAACUGUUUUUGCAACUUCUGUCCAUUGAAGCUCAUUGCCUUUGGAAAUAACCAAGCUAUUAGUGUCGGACAACCAACACAGUCAUCUCUGGAUCGAGUAAUUAAUUAACAUAUCAAAAUGAUGGUUGCAGAUACUAAACCAUCAACCAUUGCUCAUACUCCAUCUUCCAAUUGUUAAAAUUGCGAUAAUUCUCUGAUCACCUCUUAACAAUUCCACUAUAUAUAUACAUGACCUAAUCCAAAGUUUAAAUUCGAGAUUGAACAAGUUAAUUCAAGUUGACCCAACUCUAUAUAAAUAUAUUGUUUACUUUAAACGAUAUUAUUUAAUUUUUUUUAUAAUUAAAAUCAAACUAGGUUUAAAUAAAGUCGAUCAGAUCAUAGACUUACCUUAUUGGUUAUUGGCUGAGCUAAGUUUAAUAAUACUAUUAAAAAAUAUCACAUAUUUGCACAUCAAAUCUAGUACCAGAAUUGUUUGUAAUCCAUCUUUCUUGUUUACUUUUCUAGCUCCAAAGUUUUGCUUAAACAAUAAUACAUGCUUUAACGGCAGUCUUGAAUUAGUGUGAAGAGAUAAUAAUAAUAAUAAAAAAAAAAAAAAAACAACUUUCUUUUCACAUAUAUGCAGGCCAGAGGUUCAGCAUUGUUUUAUACGCAACAAUUUAGCUCAAGACACUCUUGUAUGGAUCAAGCACAUACCGAGCUAUUUGGGAAACUAUGAUCCUGAUCUAGGGAUAUAUAGCUUAAGAAAUCCAUGAACAUCCUAGACAGUGAUCAAGACAAAGCACAACAAAACGUCCUUACAGCUCCAAUAUUUCAUCGACCAAGAUUUUCCUUAGCAUUGAACCCAGCAACAAAUGCUCCAUGCAUGAACUUUAACUGCGCCACCACAAGAAAACAUCAUGGAAAAACAUUCAUAGGAUAAAUGUUGAGAUCCUAACCCAGAUCGAUCUCAUCCUGGAAAUCAUUCAGAGUUUCUAUUUUUAAGGCCUCCUCGAAGUAUAUAUACCAGCCUCUCUUCCCCUGUUGAUUGUGCCAUUCUCUCAUCUCUAAUGCCUCGUUUGUCGCAGUUACAUCAUCCCUCUUGGAGUUUUAGUUUUGUUCUCUUCUUUAUUGGAAACUAGGUAGACAUUAGCGAGGUUUCAGGUGCUGUUUGUUUAAGAGAUUGUGUCUACGUUUGAAACGAAAAGCAGAUACAACCUAUUUGGUUCCCCCAAAAUACAGUUUACUGUAUAUGGAGACCCACAUAUAUUUACAACAAAACACAGGUUUGCGGAAAGCAGCUGAGAGCUGCUUUCCGCAAAUCUGGAUGCUAUGCAGUGGAGAGUUUCACUCUCCACUGCAUGGCGUCCACAGUGGAGUUCAACUCCACUGUUCACGUGAACCGUGGUACAUGAUUCCGGCCGGGUCUAGUUCAAAGCUAAAUGCAUUGAACCGGGUCUGACCUAGUAAAAAAAAUUAAUUUUUAUUUUUAUUUUUAAUUGUGUUUUAUUGAUGACGUAACAUUUGCAGAAUUUGAUCGCAAUCCCAAUUUUGUUCCUGAUUAUAUUUUACCUGAUAUUGUUGAGCACUUAAGAAACCAAGAAAACUGUAGUCCUUGCCGGAUGUAUUUCAUACGUGAUGGAAUUGUAGAUAGUUUAAUUGAACAAUAAAAAAUAUUUUAUAUAAAAUAUUAUUUAUUUCAUGAUGCAAUAGCAAUAGUUAAAUUUACAAUAUUUAAAUUCAAAAUCAUCAAUAUAUAUAUAUAUUUUAUAACCUCAAUUUGAAAAGUAAUUUUUUAAUCAAACACAUUAAAUUAUUUUUUGUUCAACCUUAAAUUCAACCACAGUUUUAACCAAACAUAUAGAAAUAUCAAACCAACCUUAACUAAAAGUACUUUUUAUAAAACAAUUUUUUUCAAACCACAAUCACAAAAACUACCAUAAUACCAAACACAUACAAAUUUACAUCAAUCAAUGACACCUGUGAGCAAAUAAACUGCUUUGUUCGACAUAAACUGAAUCUUUAGAAUUAUUAUUAUUAUACAUAAAUGGUUUUUACAGAAAAAAAUAUUUAUCACUGUAUACUCGGAUAUAUUUAUACCAUUCUUUUUAUUCUUAUCAAUUUUCUUUUAUGAUUUGUUUUUUAGUUUCUUUUUUUUUUUAAUUUUUUUUGAAAAAUUAUUAUACAAAAACUGAGGAAAUAGUGUUUUAAUAUAACAAUUACAAUAUUGUCUCAUUUCUCUACUACAUUAAAAAUAAGUUUGAGAUCUUUUAUGUUUUUAUUAACACAUAUAAUCUUCACUAUAUUUUAUUUAUGUAAACAUCAACCUUUUGAUCUGUAGUUAUAUUUUUUUACUUGUAGUAAAAAAACACGUUAAUAACACUUUCAUAUUAAUUCAUUUAUGUUAGAAAAAAAUAUUCAACAUAUAGUUAAGCGAGUUGAAUAGAUACGUUAAUAUUUUUUUGUAUUUAUAAGCAUAAAUAGUUCUUGAUUUAUUUAAUUAAAUGCAUACAUAGAUUUUUUAUUUAAAAUUUAAAAUAUUUUUUUAAAAAAUGCAUUUAAAAAGUUUAAAUAUUUAUUUUUUUUGCAAAAAAAAUAAAAUUUAUCUGAUACACGAAACACGGUAAAAUAAUUCUCGUAAAAGAGAAAGGAGGCGUGGGCCAAAAGAGUUCAUUACAUAACCCACCAGAGCAAUAAACCCCAUUGAAUGCUCUAUAGCCAUCAAGGAUGUAGAAAUAAAUAUCUCCAAAAUUUGCUACAAUUAUAAGUUGCAAUUAACCUAACAAAAUCCUCAAAUCACUAACAAAAUCUACAAUUAAUUUUCCAAACCCUAAUAUUAAAUCUUUCUUCUUCUAGCCAAAAAGUCAGUCAAUACAAGAAUCCAACCGCCCCUUCUUGUCUUGGUCAAAACAAGAACCCAAUCUAAAACUAAACCUGAAAUCUUCACAAUCUUUCUUUUUCUUGUCUAGAAAUCCAUGAACAGGCUGCUAAAAAUAUCAGGAGAAUGUAAAGGAGAAACUAUACUAGGACCUGGAAAUAAACCUGAAGGACUGGCCAUGAAGAAUGGACUCAUAUUAAAAUUAUCAUUCAAAAAAGAUUGUGAAUUUGCAUCCGUUGACGCUGGAGAGAAAAACCCAGUUGGUACUGGCGGUAACAUCGCCGGUGCCGGUGACAAGAUCCCUGGAAUCUGACCAGCAUCCACUUCUUUAAGCAUCUCCAUGAGAUCGUCAUCACUACUAUCUUGAGUGUUACUUGGUCUUGUUAAUUCUCUUGGACUUGCUUUCUCAGUGGCAUCUUGUUAAUUAGGCUCAUUCCCAUCAUGCUUAGUCCAAAUUGUAUGAUAGUUAGAAAGCACCUAUGUCAGAUGGGAUUGGUAAUCAGCAGUGCCUUUAUAGUCAUCAACAAUAAAAAUUAUUAAUGAAUAAUAUUAUGGUAUUAGUGAAUAUUAUAAAAAAAUAAUAAUUAAUAUUUCUGGCUCUGAUAUUAAUAAAUAUUGAACUGAAAAUAAAUUUAAAUAUAGGUGAAUAUUAUAUAGUAAAAUCUUUAUAUUCUUGACUCUUCUAGUGUUAGAGAAUAUUAAACUAAAUUUUUUUAUGAUAAUGUUAAACAAAUAUAUAAAAUGCUAAAUUAUUAAAAAAAAAAGAAAUUGAAUUUUUGUUUUGUAAAGAGCAAAACAAUUUUUUUUUUGUACAAUGAUAAAUAUACCACAAUAAUUUUUUUCAAAGGACUUUGCCAUGUCAAAAAAAAAAAGAGCAUUUUAAAAUAAUCUUAGAUAUUUUUUACACAUGCCAAUCAAUCAUGCAAGCAAACAAGGUAUAAGCAAAUGGACCACCUCCAACACAGUCCAUGGGAACAGAAAUCACAACCCAAGGAACAGGAAAACAAGCCCAAAUCACAUAAACACAGUCCAUAUAACUGACAAACACGACCCAUGCUUAAACAAAAGCCCACUCACAAAAGCCCAAACAUGACCUAAGCCCAAAUCAAACCCCAACCUUAUAGUCUCAUAUCAGCCCAGCUGAACAAACAGAAGGAGACUGCAUGAUUGUGUUUACAGGACCAAAUAGUUAUGGCUGCUGCUAAACCCUUUUGUGUGGAGGUGCUUGGUGACUCUCCACAACCCAUUUCACUCUUGGAAGAUGAACCAGUCAAUCUGAAUGGACCGGUGCCAAAGAUCAAGGCUUCUGGAGCUAUUCUGGACGGUGGUUGCCAUUGUUGUUGAGACUCUUUUGAUUAAGAUCAAAAGGCCUGUUUGUUUCAUAAAAAACAAUUUCUUAAAAAUUAGUUUUUAAAUUUGUUUAUUAUUAGAAAAGUUGGUCAAUAAAAAAUACUUUUCAGUUAAAGAAAAAUUUGGUUUGAUUUUCAGAAAAAUAUUUUUCUUUUAUUUUGGACGGAAAACACUUUCCAGAAAUUGUGAAAAAUUUAAAAAUGUCAUGUUAUUUGUUAAUUGUUAUUUAUUUUAUUUGAAAUAAUUUAUGAAAUUAUAUAUUUUUUUAAUUUUAUCAUCUUUCAACUUUUUUAUCUGUUAGAUUUGAUCUCUAUUAUUUUGAUUUUUAUUUAUUUUAUUCGAAAUAAUUUAUGAAAUUAAAUUAUUUUUUUCAAUUUUAUUCUCAUUUAACUUUUUAAUUUGUAAGAUUUGUUCUUUAUUAUUUUAAUAAACUUGAAAAAAAAUAUUAACAAUUUAUUUUUCAGCUUAUUUUUUAUGAUAUAGCCAAACACUGGAAAAUAUUUUCCAACUUAUUUUCCAUGAUACUAUCAAACAUCAGAAAAUAAUACACUUUACAUGAAUUCAUUUUCUAAAGAAACUACUUUUUUUAAAAAAAUACUUUCCAACAAACAAAUAGGUCUAAGAAUCCUUUCCCUUUCCUUUUAUUCUUCGUAAAGUGUCUAGGAAACUCUAAGAACUUUGAUUUUCCCAUAAACUAGAACCUUGGCUGCCUGUUCUUCUAACGUGAGCUUUCAAACUUAGCAGACUUUAGGGGUUGUUUCUACGAAAUACUUGGGGGCUUGAAUAUAUGAUACCACCAGUAAGGAUUUAGGAGAGGUGCAUCCCUUGAAAUCAGUGGAGGAGUCUUCUUUUACAAGAUCCUGCCUCCCUGAAACUUUGAUGACUUAAAGGUCACAGCUUUUAAAGUUAAGGCAAGAGAUUAGAGGUGAUGAUGGACUAUUCUAACUCAUAAAUGGUUGAACAGUUGGGUUUUGUGUUUGUGGUAGGAGGAUUUUGAAGGGCUAAAGAAAGGUGAAGGCUAAGACAUGCAAGAUGGUUGAGAGGUAGUGUUUUUUUUUUUUUUUUUUUACUAAGUUUUAACCAUGGCUUCACGAUCCUCUCAAAUGCUACACAGGUUAGGGUUUGGAAACCAUUUUAUAGGUCAAGGAGGAAGGAUACAGAACCUGUGAGAUGAGUUAUCUUGGACCCACUAUUGAUGAUGCAAGGAUAUACAGUUAUACACAGUUCUCGACAAUUCGAUUGACAUUUUUGUUGUGAAUUCUGCAACGAGUUUAGGGCUGUAAAGGACCUGAUUUUUAGUUUUUAUGAGAGUGCGAAUUAUAGGGUGUCAGGGGAUGUGCAGUUUGUGAACUUCAACGCCCAUUCAUUUUAGUUCGUGGACCUUUAACUCUUGUAAUUUUAACUUUGACUUUUAAUAUUUGAUUUUUCUUUAAUUAAGUAUCUGAUUGCAUUAAUUAAGUCAAUCCAAGUAUUUGUCUCUUUUAAUUGGCCCUUGAUCUUUUAAUUUUUGCAAUUUCAACUUAAUCUUUAAUAUUUUCUUUGAUUAGGCUCUUAAUUGACAAAAUUGAACUACCAAAUUCUGCAACUUUGUCCAUGUUAGUCCUUAAACUUCUAAUUCAUGUUGUCAUGUCUCAUCUCAGUCUGUUUUCUUCGGUCGGACUCUAAAUUAUCUGCCCUCAUGGUGUCGUAACCAUUUAUGAAUUAAAUGUCUGGCUUGUGAUCUAAAAUAGUUUUUGAAUUUUGAAUGUUUUCUUUGGAUUUUUGAAUAUGUUUAAUAGAAUUUUUUUUAUGUAAGAAAUAAAAAAAAUCUAGGGGACCUAAAAUUUAGUUAUGAUAGAAAAAAAAAAGACUUAACUUAGAGAGAGAAAAUAUUAAGAGAGAUAAAAAGAAAAAGUUUUGAGCUAAAAAUAAAGGUGGUUUGAGCUAAGAAGCAUGGGAGGAGAAACAAAAGAAAGAAGAAAAUAUGAGGGGGGGGAAGAAAAAUCAAAGAGAGAGAUCAAACAAACCUGAUAAACCACCUAACAAAGCACCCCACCACUAAAACUGUCAUCAUCCUCGCCAUCAGUAGCCACCAUAACAACUCCUUCAUCAUGAAACUAGCUCUAAGGUAAGCCAUAUCCUUAUUCCUUCUUAUUUCUUGUUUUUCUAGUAAGGUGCAAAUGUUACUAUUCAAAAAUAAAUAUAAUGCACAUUACACUAUUCAUCCAUCCAUUUCAUAAAACUAUGUUUUCAUCUUUCUAUGAAUGAAUGUGCAUGUAAAUAUUUAUUUUCAAUAUAUAUGUCAUAACCCAAUUUUUGACCUUUUAUAUUUGAAUUAUUUUUAUUACUGAAAAAAUGAUGAAAAAAAAUGAUGAAAAACAAGUAAAAAUAAAAUAAAUGAAGAAUGAAUUAAAAUUUGGGUUAAGGGCAAUAUGAUUGGAAGUUUAAAGAUUUAAUUAAACUCUUGAGUAGUUUAAUUAAUCAAAUCAAGGGUUUAAUUAGAGAAUUGAUAAGUUUUGAGACUUAAUUGAGCUUGGAAUUAAUUUAAUUAAUCCAAUUAAGGGUUUAAUUGGAGAAUUGAUAAGCUUUAGACUUAAUUAAGCUUGGAAUUAACUUAUUCAGGAAUUAAUUGAAGAAAUAUUAAAGUUUGGGGUCAAAAUUGCAAAAUUAAAAUCCAAGGACUACAUUGAAAAUAGCGCGCAAAUGCAGGGGUCCAAUUACAGUUUAAACGAGGGGCUUAAUUACAAAACGUUUAAAACUUCAAGGGCCAAAAUGAAAAUAACCAUUAAAAACAAAAAACGGUGCCGUUUCUAGACACUGUUCAUCUUCCUCAACGGUUCAGCCGCCCGCCGCCACCAUUACACCUGCAAUCAAUGGAUGAAACGGCAUUGUUCUCUGGCUAUAAAAGCCAGAGAACGAAAGGCUACAAAAAAAAAAAAAAAAACCUGGGGACACGAAAAAGCCAGGCGGAGAGACUGAAAAAACCUGGGAAAACUGAGGGGAAGAGAGACAAAAAAAGAGCCACGAACGGCAGAAAACAAAGAACGCAGGAGACGGGGGGAGACUGAAAAAAACCUGGGGAAAACUGAGAGAAGAGGAGACCCAGAACAGGGAACCAAAAAAAAAAGACAGGAACGAAGAGAAAAAAAAAAGAAACAGAGAACAGAGGGGACGACUGGAGAAGCAAACGAGACAGAGACAGAAACAGGGGAAGAGAACAAAAAGCCAACGUACCCCAGCUUCGCCUUCAUCUUCAGAACACAAACACAGUGAGCAGACGAAAAACCAGAGAAGAAAAACGCAAACAAAACCAGAGGAAGAAGCUUAAAAAAACGAAGAGAGGACCAGCAUCACCACCGACUGCCUCUUCUCCAGCACCAGCUUCCAAAACCAGAGGAAGAAGCUAAAAAGGAGAGAGGAACAAGCAGCUGACAGAAGGAAUACACCGACAGAAGGGAAACGAACGAACACAGGGAUCUUGAGGCAAGGAUAGACGACCAAGAAAGACUGAAAAAUCCGGAUCGCCAUUUCCAGCACCAGGUAAGUUGCGCUUUCCCUUCUUGCAUUUUAAUUACAUGCUCCUAUAGCAGGCGUGCGUGAACUGUUCACGCACGCCUGCUGGUAAAAAAAAAGGCCAGGUCAAGCCUGUGACCCGGCUAGGCCUGCUGGGUCCAGCCCAGCCCAAAAAAAAAAUAUAAAAAUAAAAAAUAAAACAAAUAGAAAAAUAUGUGUAUGCAUGAAUAAAAAUAAUGUAAAUUUAUUGUUUUAUUCACUGACGCCAGAGUCAGGAAUAAAAAACACUGAUUUAAUUUUUUUUAUUUAACUACAUAAGAAAUAAAAAAAUAUGUGCAUGCGUAAAAAUAAAUUAAUUUUUAUUUAUUUAUUCACUGGCGCCAGAGUAAGGAAUAAAAAAUAUUGAUCUAAUUUUUUUUCGUAGCUACGAAUUUUUACCAACGCCAGAGUUGGAAUUAUUCGAGCUCGAAUAUUCAUUGGCGCCAGAAUCAGGAAUAUUAUAAACAAAUCAUCAUAGCAUAAACUAAUAAACAUUUAACAAUUUAAGACAAAACUAGCAAUGCAGUCUGUCUUAGGCAGAAUGUUUAAGGGGUGAUAAUAUCUUCUCUUUUACGUAACAAAUCCCGAGCCAUAGAAUCUCUGUUGACUAGUUAGGGUUCCUAGUGACCAUAAUAUUAGGUGGUGACUCCUCAAACAAGAUAUUUUUCCCUAAAAGAACCAGAUGCCAGAUAUUCUGUUCUUUUUCCAUAAUCAAGGAUUAUUUUUAGGGCCGCCGCGAUGUCGGGUGCGACAAUAUAUAUAUAUAUAUAUAUAUAUAUAUAUAUAUAUAUAUAUAUAUAUAUAUAUUGAUGAGUUUUUGACAAGAUAGCGUCGGGUUUUAACAGUUAGAUCGAUGAUAAGAACUGAUGUAGACUUAAUGCGACAUUUUAAGCCUCAAAACAAGAUAAAAAAUGAGUUGACAAGGUUAAUUUUCAUCAUUUCAUCAUUAUAUCUUGAUUAAACUUAGAUUAUAACAGGUAGGUCAACAUAUCUCUUGAUUUUAGUGACUGACGUAGGCUUAGCGUGUUGUUUUUUAUUAGAAAUGAGGUCGAUAAAAAGUUAACAAGUCUCCUCAAAAUAAAAACCGAUGUGGGUUGAUCAUAGUAUUUUGUUCAACUUUUAUGUUUAUAGAAAUAAAUAUCACUAUUAAACAGGGGUCAAGAAAUAUAAAUAAAAAAAAUUAAAACUAAAAAAUCAUUGAGUUGCGAGACUUCUUAGUUAGGAUUAGACGUUAAAUGGACAUACAAUCCACUAAGAAUAAAUAACUUGCGAAUAAGCUCAAAAAAUAAUUUGAACAAUUAAUGUCAUAUGUAAAAUAAACUUAGAAAAAACAUAUAGUUGACGCGAUCUUUUCUUGAAAAAAAAUACAGUAAGGGUUAUUUUUAUUUUUUUUUAAGCAUAACCAACUUCUUACUUAGAUAUUUGAGAUCAAUGUAUUUUUUAGAAUUUGUAAUAUCCUUAAAAACCUGGGUGGUGACUUUACUUUUUAUAUUUUUAUUUAAAUUCAAAGGUCCAAUUUAUAUCAGGUGCGACAUUAGUGAUGGGUAUUAUAAAGAAAAAGGAGUUCUUUGCGGUUAAAAAUAUCUUAAAUAUUAAGAGAUUUUUUCAAGGAUCAAGAUGAAAGAAAAGAAAUAAUAAAAAAUAUUUCUCGAAUUUAAUUUUGACCCAUGACUUAUUAACCAUGACAUAACCAUUUAAUUUAUAACUAAAAAAAACUUAACCACACAAUUUUAGUUAUCGAUGGCAUCCCAUAAUUAAUUAGCACUUGAUAAGCUUAAGAGCAUUAAUAAGUUCAUAUUAUAAAUUGUGCUAGAUGUUGACAGACACAAGGUUGUCAAUUCCGUUUCGGUAGGUGUUUUGUUUUUUCAAUUAGAAUGGAAUAUUUCAGUUUCAGAGUAUUUCGGCAUGCCGUUUCGAGGUUUACUGUUCAUAUAUAUAUAUAUAUAUAUAUAUAUAUAUAUAUAUAUAUAUAUAUAUAAUUCAACAAACAUAAUUCAAAUUCAAGAUAAAUUAAUUAUAAAUUAUGCAAUACAAACACAAUGCCAAACAAAUAUAAUUUUAAAAUUUAAAAUAUUUCUAAAUAGUCAAGAUUAAAUAGAUCUUUAACUUAAAGUAAUUCAACUUAAACAAAAUAUCAAAAUAUUAUGAAAGUAAAAUGUUUUAACACAAAUAUUUUAAAUAUAAAGUUAGAUCAAUGUUAUCAAGGCUAAUGAAAUCUAAAGCAUCCCUUGUUUUGCUCAAAUUCCUACAAAGUAUAAACAUGAAAAAAACAACAUGAAUAUAAACAAUAUAUAUUAGUGAUAAAUAUAAUUUUAAAAAAUUAAUAUCAUUGUUAAUGAAAAUAGUAAUAAUAAUUUUCAAUAUUAUUAUUAAUAUCAUUGUUAUUGAAAAUAGUAAUGAAAAAAAGUUUUUUAUACUUGGGUGGGUGAAUUAAUUAAAUUGAACAAUGUUUUAAUUUGAUGGCUUUUCAAGAGCAGAACGGAACAUGUGGAAUGGAACCGGAGCGUUCCGGCCGAAAUUUAGCCGAAAAAUCUGGAACGGACCGAGAUUUAAAAUAAGAUGAAAAUUGUUCCGUUUUAUUUCGUUUUUUGAAUUGGUAUGAAAUGUUUUGACCAUUCCGAACGAAACGGAACGGAAUUGACAACCUUGGACAGACAUGUUGUUUUUUGAAAAGCAAGCCACAUGUCUUUCUUUUCCCAUAGGCCCAAACCAUUCUCCCUUUUUGGAGCUGAUGUGUAUUCCACUUCCAAUCACUAACUUGAGCACUUAGGAGUUAGGACAAGCACCAGAUUUUUUUUUAUCAAACACUAAUUUUUUUCUUUCUCAUCUAUUAUUGUCAUUAAUACUUAAGAAAUUGUCGAGUUUUUUUGUGAAGUUUUCCAUUGCUAGCUUUUUUUUUUU